UCCUGCGAUUUUUGNGCUCUAGAAAUGUCU
rnacentral:piRNA from 1 species